rnacentral:rRNA from 1 species
UACGUAGGGUGCAAGCGUUGUCCGGAAUUAUUGGGCGUAAAGAGCUCGUAGGCGGUCUGUCGCGUCGGCUGUGAAAUCCCGGAGCUCAACUCCGGGCCUGCAGUCGAUACGGGCAGACUGGAGUUCGGCAGGGGAGACUGGAAUUCCUGGUGUAGCGGUGAAAUGCGCAGAUAUCAGGAGGAACACCGGUGGCGAAGGCGGGUCUCUGGGCCGUUACUGACGCUGAGACGCGAAAGCGUGGGGAGCGAACAGG